rnacentral:lncRNA from 1 species
GUCAAGAAUAUCUUAACCAAAAAUAGAGAGGCAGAAUCAAGGGAAUUAGAUCACCACAUAUUAGGAAUAUAUAUUUUUCCUUAUUUACAUUGUAUUCUUAUGCUAUAUAUUGGGGUGUAAUGUAUAUGAAAAAAAUAUAUUACCGAUUCUCUCUACAUUCUCUAUCAUGUUGUUCUUUCUCAACCUAGCUUCUCUCGAUUAC